rnacentral:piRNA from 1 species
CCACAACAGAAAAGAAAUUAGGG